UACAUUUAUGUGUGUGUUUGUGUGUGUGUGUAUUGUUUUUAUGUCAAAUUGUAAAAACAAUUAAACAAACAUUAAACUAAAGGAUUACUCAAUCCUUUUUGUAGUGUGCAUAAAAGAUGAGAGGUGGAAGCAACUUUCAUGUUUCAGCCUAUCCUUCAUCAGUCCAACAAAG